ACGCCUGCCCAGUGAACAAUUAAACGGCCGCGGUACCCUAACCGUGCAAAGGUAGCAUAAUCAUUUGUCUACUAAUUAUAGACCUGUAUGAAAGGCAAAAUGAGGGUCUAACUGUCUCUUAUAGUAAAUCAAUUAAACUGAUCUCCUAGUAAAAAAGCUAGAAUUUUAACAUAAGACCAGAAGACCCUGUGAAGCUUAAACUAAACUAUUAAAACUAAUAAUAACUACUUUCGGUUGGGGCGACCUUGGAAAAAAAAAGAACUUCCAAAUACUAUGAUAUAAUCAUACACACUUAGGCCAACAAGCCACACUACGACCCAGCAUAGCUGAAAAUUGAAACAAGUUACUCCAGGGAUAACAGCGCAAUCUUCUUCAAGAGCCCAUAUCAAAAAGAAGGUUUACGACCUCGAUGUUGGAUCAGGACAUCCUAAUGGUGCAGCAGCUAUUAAGGGUUCGUUUGUUCAACGAUUAACAGUCCUACGUGAUCUGA
rnacentral:rRNA from 1 species